CCGGCGCACGGGUGAGUAACACGUAUCCAACCUGCCGUCUACUCUUGGACAGCCUUCUGAAAGGAAGAUUAAUACAAGAUGGCAUCAUGAGUCCGCAUGUUCACAUGAUUAAAGGUAUUCCGGUAGACGAUGGGGAUGCGUUCCAUUAGAUAGUAGGCGGGGUAACGGCCCACCUAGUCUUCGAUGGGUAGGGGUUCUGAGAGGAGGGUCCCCCACAUUGGAACUGAGACACGGUCCAA
rnacentral:rRNA from 1 species